UUCAUAUAAUUUUUUUGAGCAAGAGGAGGAAAACGAGAUGGGAUUUACACGGAAGAAUUCUGGCUACUAAAUGAUGGCUUUGCUGAAUGCUGAAGAUAAUGAGUAUCCGGAUGGGGUGGAACCAUCUUAGAAUUUGUGAUGACUUCUACUGACAUAACAACCACUGUUGCUCCUGCAACUCUCUUAGAAUGCAACAAUGAAAAAUGAUUUUCAUCAAAAAAACAUUGAUUCAAUCUUCAUUGUGGGGCGUUCUACUAAAAAGGGUCAUAGAGGAUGCGGUUACAUUGGAGAGAAAGGAGUCAAUUGGGGAGAGGAAGUUUGGUUUGAGAUUGGGUUCAGGUUUGGUGAAAGUCAGUGGAAAUAGGCAUGCUACUGCCAAGGUUUCGAAGUGGUCUCAGUUGAGAGCAACAAACAAAUUUGUAGUUGCGAUUACACCAUUUUCUUGCCUGUUGUAGCCACUGCUCGACGGCUGUGUAGGAGGGGUAUUGCGCAAUGGACAAUGGAUGUUUUUGAUAACCACGGGAAGAUAAGAUAUGUGCAUAGAUUGGUUAAAUUUGGGUCUGUUUGUGCCGAUAAGCCAGCCAAGAAAAGGUAGCUUUGGCCGUUUUUUUAUGCGAAAAGGUUGCAGAAAUAACAACCUGGUGGCACUAGUUUCGGAUGCCGGAUGUUGAAAUUAAAACUGGGAAUCCUAAAGCUUCACUGAAUCAUGAAGUGGUACAAGUCAGAAGAUAAAAUUGGUGGCGGGAUAUACGAGUUUCCAGUCACGCUUUUGAUCAAAUUGCAAUUUACUUGGAUAGAACUUGAACUCAAUUGCAAAUAGUAGAAUUUGUUUUACAUUAGGAAAGUAUGUUAGUAUUUGUAUAUUUUAAUAAUAUGUUAUGAGCUAUGGAA